GUGGGGAAUUUUGGACAAUGGGCGCAAGCCUGAUCCAGCCAUUCCGCGUGCAGGAUGAAGGCCUUCGGGUUGUAAACUGCUUUUGUACGGAACGAAAAGCCUCUGGUUAAUACCCGGGGGUCAUGACGGUACCGUAAGAAUAAGCACCGGCUAACUACGUGCCAGCAGCCGCGGUAAUACGUAGGGUGCGAGCGUUUAUCGGAAUUACUGGGCGUAAAGCGUGCGCAGGCGGGGAUGUAAGACAGUUGUGAAAUCCUCGGGCUCAACCUGGGAACUGCAUCUGUGACUGCAUUGCUGGAGUGCGGCAGAGGGGGAUGGAAUUCCGCGUGUAGCAGUGAAAUGCGUAGAUAUGCGGAGGAACACCGAUGGCGAAGGCAAUCCCCUGGGCCUGCACUGACGCUCAUGCACGAAAGCGAGGGGAGAAAACAGGAUUAGAUACCCGGGUAGUCC
rnacentral:rRNA from 1 species